GGGGGGCAAAGGACUGUACCCAGAAACAACAGGCUAAGAGAGUCUCCUGAGAAAAGCUGGGCUUGUGAGAUAACCAGCCCUACUCGGAGAAGCUUUGGAAAAAGAAAAACAAAAACUCAACUUUACAACUGUAUAUCUGGACCAAACACCUGAGGGACUGUCGGUAAAUCCUUUACUAUAUGACACUGCCCAUGCCUGGAAAUGAGGGAUAGCGUAUACUCCAAGGAACAACAUCUCUUGUAGGGUUUCACUUCCUGAAAAGCUACUGAAGAAAAAAACCAUUGAAGUCAUGGGACAAAGGGCUAUUCCUCUGAGUUAAAUAACAAUGUCCCCUGGAGGGAGAAUUCCACUUCUUCUGCCAACCAGCAACCCUGCUGGCAGCUGUGUUUGAGAAAAGCGUGCCUAUCAACUAAUGAUGCCUAACCCCUCUCCUGGCUCCUGAAUGGAGAGUCUGUGUUGGUGGUAUUGAUACCCACCAUUAACAAAAACUUCGCUUACUUUCAAAAAUGUAGAUCCUUUUAUGAAUUCUUCAUCAUAACAAAGGCAAUGGUUUCCCAUUUUUGUCUUAAUUGUAUGUUUGCCCAAAUUUGAUGGAUCAUGUUUUGGUUUUUAUAUAAUUUUCUUUUUCCAGAUUUCCAUUUAGGGUCCUCAGGCUGAAACUAGGCAUAUCCCAUGGCCCAGGCUGGUUGGACACAACUAAAUCUACAUAAAUCUCCAUUGAGUCUCCGAGGAGAUUCGAUGAGAAAAUAUUUUAGGAAACAGCGUUAUGAGUCUCUGUGCUCAGUGAUAUUUAAGUUGGCUGACCAUUUCAAUUUUGGAAAUUAUAGUCCAUUAACAUGAAAAAAAGGCAAUUACAUGUUUGUAUAUUUCUACCUAUGCUUGUGCUUUUUGCAAAUGUUUAUAAAGAGUGGCAUGAUAAAAUAAAAUAAUUUUGUGUUUG
rnacentral:lncRNA from 1 species